GAUGAACGCUGGCGGCGUGCCCAAUACAUGCAAGUCGAGCGAACGGACGAGAAGCUUGCUUUUCUGAUGUUAGCGGCGGACGGGUGAGUAACACGUGGAUAACCUACCUAUAAGACUGGGAUAACUUCGGGAAACCGGAGCUAAUACCGGAUAAUAUUUUGAACCGCAUGGUUCAAAAGUGAAAGACGGUCUUGCUGUCACUUAUAGAUGGAUCCGCGCUGCAUUAGCUAGUUGGUAAGGUGACGGCUUACCAAGGCAACGAUGCAUAGCCGACCUGAGAGGGUGAUCGGCCACACUGGAACUGAGACACGGUCCAGACUCCUACGGGAGGCAGCAGUAGGGAAUCUUCCGCAAUGGGCGAAAGCCUGACGGAGCAACGCCGCGUGAGUGAUGAAGGUCUUCGGAUCGUAAAACUCUGUUAUUAGGGAAGAACAUAUGUGUAAGUAACUGUGCACAUCUUGACGGUACCUAAUCAGAAAGCCACGGCUAACUACGUG
rnacentral:rRNA from 1 species